GCACGGUCUUUUUUUGAAAUUAAUAUUUGCAUACACGACGCACGCACCCCCGUAAAUAUUUUGUAUCUGCUCAGGAUGAACGCUGGCGGCGUGCUAAUACAUGCAAGUCGAGCGAAUGGAUUAAGAGCUUGCUCUUAUGAAGUUAGCGGCGGACGGGUGAGUAACACGUGGGUAACUGCCCAUAAGACUGGGAUAACUCCCGGGAAACCGGGGCUAAUACCGGAUAACAUUUUGAACCGCAUGGUUCGAAAUUGAAAGGCGGCUUCGGCUGUCACUUAUGGAUGGACCCGCGUCGCAUUAGCUAGUUGGUGAGGUAACGGCUCACCAAGGCAACGAUGCGUAGCCGACCUGAGAGGGUGAUCGGCCACACUGGGACUGAGACACGGCCCAGACUCCUACGGGAGGCAGCAGUAGGGAAUCUUCCGCAAUGGACGAAAGUCUGACGGAGCAACGCCGCGUGAGUGAUGAAGGCUUUCGGGUCGUAAAACUCUGUUGUUAGGGAAGAACAAGUGCUAGUUGAAUAAGCUGGCACCUUGACGGUACCUAACCAGAAAGCCACGGCUAACUACGUGCCAGCAGCCGCGGUAAUACGUAGGUGGCAAGCGUUAUCCGGAAUUAUUGGGCGUAAAGCGCGCGCAGGUGGUUUCUUAAGUCUGAUGUGAAAGCCCACGGCUCAACCGUGGAGGGUCAUUGGAAACUGGGAGACUUGAGUGCAGAAGAGGAAAGUGGAAUUCCAUGUGUAGCGGUGAAAUGCGUAGAGAUAUGGAGGAACACCAGUGGCGAAGGCGACUUUCUGGUCUGUAACUGACACUGAGGCGCGAAAGCGUGGGGAGCAAACAGGAUUAGAUACCCUGGUAGUCCACGCCGUAAACGAUGAGUGCUAAGUGUUAGAGGGUUUCCGCCCUUUAGUGCUGAAGUUAACGCAUUAAGCACUCCGCCUGGGAGAUCCUCG
rnacentral:rRNA from 1 species